rnacentral:rRNA from 1 species
AUUGAACGCUGGCGGAAUGCUUUACACAUGCAAGUCGAGCGGCAGCGCGGCCUUCGGGCUGGCGGCGAGCGGCGAACGGGUGAGUAAUGCAUCGGAACAUGCCCAGUCGUGGGGGAUAACACUUCGAAAGAAGUGCUAAUACCGCAUACGUCCUGAGGGGGAAAGCGGGGGAUCGCAAGACCUCGCGCGAUUGGAGUGGCCGAUGUCAGAUUAGCUAGUUGGUGGGGUAAAGGCCUACCAAGGCGACGAUCUGUAGCUGGUCUUAGAGGAUGAUCAGCCACACUGGGACUGAGACACGGCCCAGACUCCUACGGGAGGCAGCAGUGGGGAAUUUUGGACAAUGGGGGCAACCCUGAUCCAGCCAUUCCGCGUGAGUGAAGAAGGCCUUCGGGUUGUAAAGCUCUUUCGGCAGGAACGAAACGGUGGGCUCUAACAUAGUCCGCUAAUGACGGUACCUGAAGAAGAAGCACCGGCUAACUACGUG